GAUGAACGCUAGCGGCAGGCCUAACACAUGCAAGUCGAGGGAGAAGCCCUUUCGGGGGCAGACACCGGCGCACGGGUGCGUAACGCGUAUGCAACCUACCUUUCACAGGGGGAUAGCCCGAAGAAAUUUGGAUUAAUACCCCAUAAUAUUAUUGGAUGGCAUCAUUUGAUAAUUAAAACUGCGGUGGUGAAAGAUGGGCAUGCGUCCUAUUAGCUCGUGGGAGUGGUAACGGCACCCCAAGGCUACGAUAGGUAGGGGUCCUGAGAGGGAGAUCCCCCACACGGUGACUGGGACAGGGACCAGACACAUACGGGAGGCAGCAGUGAGGAAGAUUGGUCAAUGGUCGGAAGCCUGAACCAGCCAAGCCGGGUGCAGGAAGAAUGCCUUAUGGGUUGUAAACUGCUUUUAGAUGGGAAGAAUAAGGCGUACGUGUACGUUGAUGACGGUACCAUAUGAAUAAGCAUCGGCUAACUCCGUG
rnacentral:rRNA from 1 species